rnacentral:rRNA from 1 species
CUGCUGCCUCCCGUAGGAGUCUGGUCCGUGUCUCAGUACCAGUGUGGGGGACCUUCCUCUCAGAACCCCUACGCAUCGUCGCCUCGGUGGGCCGUUACCCCGCCGACUAGCUAAUGCGACGCAUGGCCAUCCUAUGCCGGAGUCGCCUCCUUUGACCCCCAAGAAGAUGUCUCCUAAAGGUGUUAUGCGGUAUUAGACGGAAUUUCUUCCGCUUAUCCCCCUGCAUAGGGCAGGUUCCAUACGUGUUACUCACCCGUGCGCCCGG